AUCCAGUGGGACCUCUAAUAAUGGUUGUCUUGGAACUGGAGCCUCUUGACACAAAGCAUGCUGAUUGCUGCUGAGAAGAUGUUGCAUCCCAGAUGCAGGUAUAGUAGAUAUACUGCUCUCAGAGGAAGAUGACCUUAUAUGAAGUGGUAAGGAGACAGCUGUCUGCAAUUUAAGAUUAGAACAGAACAAUUAGCAAUUAAAGGCACCAUUUAUCAAUGAAUUUAUCAAAAAAUACAUCUGCUGGAACUUUAAACUUUUACAUGACCACACCUAAUUGAGUAAAGUUUCUAGAAGUUCUGUACAGCCCUAAUUAAGAUAAACAGUCUUUCUCUCUCCAUAUGCAUGUUGGACAAAGGGGGGUAUUUAUCAAUGAAUUUAUUCAAAAACUAUAAUUGAUGGCCGUAACUUCUUUUUUUUUUUUUUUACAUACAGGAGAUUGGAUAAAAAUAUACACAAAAAUCAAUCUAGUCAUCUGACCUUUUCUUACCUCUUGGCAUAGCAAUGAAUAUGAUUCAACAGUGUUAAUAUCUGCCUCCACCAAGGAUUGGCCAGUCCCAGUAAACUCCAAAGCAUUCAAGUCUCCAGUGAGAUGAGUAACUGCACUAUCGUGCUGACUGAUCCUUGAAAGAGUUGCUCUUUCUAAGGACACUGCAUCUGUUUCGUCACUUUCUUCAUCGGGCUGGGUAGCAUUGGUAGUUUUCACAAG
rnacentral:lncRNA from 1 species